rnacentral:rRNA from 1 species
UUGAAAGGGAAACGAUUGAAGUCAGUCGUACCAGCGGGAAAUCAACCUUUCGAGUGGGGGUUUUGGAGUUUUUUGAAGAGUGUCAAAACCUUUGAGAUUUCAAAAUUUUCGCUCCUUUGGUGUACUUUCUCGUGGGUAGGUUAACAUCGAUUUCGAUCAUCAUAAAAAGAUUGGAGGAAUGUAGCUUCGAUCUUGUAUUGAAGUGUUAUAGCCUUUGGUAAAUGUGAUGAUUAGGAUCGAGGAUUGCAACGAAUACCCUUUUGGGCUAUCCGCCUGAUCUCUGAUACGUGGCCUUGGUAUCGAAAGCUUGCUUAUGGUAUUAAGGUAUUACGGUCAAAAGGUUAGAACGGAUUACAUUCGUUAAGGAUGUUGACGUA